UACGUAGGGUGCAAGCGUUGUCCGGAAUUAUUGGGCGUAAAGAGCUCGUAGGCGGCUUGUCGCGUCGUCCGUGAAAACCUGCAGCUCAACUGCAGGCUUGCGGUCGAUACGGGCAUCACUGGAGUUCGGCAGGGGAGACUGGAAUUCCUGGUGUAGCGGUGAAAUGCGCAGAUAUCAGGAGGAACACCGAUGGCGAAGGCAGGUCUCUGGGCAUUAACUGACGCUGAGGAGCGAAAGCAUGGGGAGCGAACAGG
rnacentral:rRNA from 1 species